CUAGGUACUCUAAAUUCAGUGGGAAUUCUAAAAGAUCAACAUCUCCUUGGGGAAUGGAAUGGUUUGCUCUUCUAACAAUUGCAUUACAAUAAGUUGGCAGAUAGAGGAUGAUGAGGAAGCUGACAGCGGCGGCGGCUACUGCUUGGAGUUGGUAAAUGUAUGAGAAGAGUAGAUGGCAGGCAGAGGAUGCAGAUUUAAAGUUUGAUUGCCACGUUGAUUCGAUAUGCUGACACCAACACCAACACCAACACCAACUGACGCAAGAACAAACAAGGUAAGUAGGUGGAUCCUUACUUCCGCAUGAAUGGAUGUUGUCUUUGCAUGGCCAUUCGGCGACCUUGUUUUUAUGAUUAUCGAACUUAAACCUGUAACAUAACUUCUAUUGAAGGAAAAAUUAUUCAAUUCGGUCAUUGUA